AAAACUAGCCAGUCUUUUGGGUAUGAAACCCAUUUGGGCGAGAGUAGUACUAGGAUGGGUGACCUCCUGGAAGUCCUCGUGAAAGGGUUUC
rnacentral:rRNA from 1 species